CCAGACGUUGUCCCCUGGCAAGAGAGGUCCAGUGCUGGGCCCUGGGCAAGUGUCCCCAGACAUCUCACCCUUCCUCCCUUCAUUAGCCUCUUCUCCCAACAGAAACCAUUUCCUUUGCCACUCAAACUAGGUUGCAUCCAAAAGUUUCUCACAAGCUUAAAAAAGAAAAAUGAAAAAUUGACAGCAUUAAACAGAAGAAUUCACAAAAGAUGCAGCAGAACCAGGGCAAAGCAGCGACAGACCCAGGGUCCGUCUAAGAAAAGAUUGGCACAGACGUACAAAGCAAGACCAUCUGAAGACAAAGGGAUAAAGACACUGUGUACAGGCCAAGCAAAGAGACCUCAGAAGAAACCAGCGCUGCUCACCUUGGUUUCAGGACCGCAGAUGCACAGAACGAUGCUUCCAAGUCAUGCCAGGAAGAAAGAAAGCGAAGCUCUCUGACCCUUGUUGGAGAAGUUACUUUCCCUACCUCUUUGCUAGGUGACGGCUCUCUAUUGGAUCUGCAUGGUAGAAGGAAGCACUGAUGUGCUACUCUGCACCUCUUCCAAAUUCCAUGGUCAGUGAUUUCCCUUCAUAUCCUGAAGCUGAUCCUGGUGGCAGAACUUACAGAAUGGGGGCAAAGCUAUUGAACAGAGUCUCCUCACCUGGAAAGACGCAAGAAGUUUCAAAGAACGUCUAUAAACAGCAGCAUGCAUUCAGAGCCUGGGGACUCAUAAUGGAUUUGUUUCAAUGGGACACCCCACAUGGAAAAUAAACAAGUGAGAAAGUCCAUUUGUGUCGAUAACUUCAGUUUCAGCAAUUGCAGCGACAGUCACAAUGUCUGACUUCAAGAGAACUUGGGUGAAAGAUGAAGUCUUUUAAGAAGAAAAAAUGACCGUUCCAAAAGAGGUGAAGGCUCCAUUAAUAGUAAUAAAGGAAAGAGGAAGGUUCCACGAGAAGCUAGACAUCUGUUCACUCCCAUGGUGUAUCCUUAGUGCCACUGGAUCGUCAGGGCUGCUGACGGCCUCUCCUGGAUGGUGUAACAUUUAAAGGCACUGGCAUGACAACCCAGUUCUGUGGGGCAGUAUCUCAAAGCAUAUGGCCAAACUGUGAUUCACUGAUCCUUUUAUUAUUUGAGGAGUUUAAGUGAUGGAAAUUUUGUGUAUGUAACUAAAGUGCAGAAAAGCCCACAUGCCUUGAGGCUCUAAAUUAAGCAAAUACAUUCUUGUGCUUGAAAAUUACAUUUGGAAAUGGUUGCUUAUUUUACAAUUUUUUUCUUCCACAUAAUGUCGGAGGCUAAGCAUUUUUAAUGCCUAUUUUUGAAAAUUAUGUGAAGUCAUACAUGGAAAAAAAGGAAGGCACUAGGAAGUAACCAGCUUCAGAGACAGUUACAGGAACGGGCAUUUCUGCCCUCAAACGUCUUGACUGUGUGAAUUCUUUUCACUUUUUUCUUUUAUGUUGCUAAAAUUCCACCAAUCAAAGAUUCGUCUCUAAAACUGUUAAUAAUGUUUUUCUGAAACAAACUUAUUUGUCUUUUAAAAAUGUGUGCUGAUUAAAAUAAUGUUCUGCUGACCUAGUGAAUGGAAGGAACUUAUGGUUUUAGUUUUCCUUUUCAUUUGAGAAAUAAAAUAUUCUUUCAGCAAAAAACUCAUUAUGAACAAAAAGACACACUGUAAAUCCCAUCUUUCUUUGACUCAGAUUUUGAGACUCUUUCCUUCCUCGAUGCAGAUUUUGUGUGUAUAAGCGUUCGUAGAAAAGCACAUAGAUACU